CUGAGUGCGGGCCCCUUGCGGGUCCAACCUCCCACCCGUGUCUCUUGAAUACCCUGUUGCUUUGGCGGGCCCACCGGGAAACCGGUCGCCGGGGGGCAUUGUGCCCCCGGGUCCGCGCCCGCCAGAGCGCCUGUGAACCCUAAUGAAGAAGGACUGUCUGAGUCUGAGAUAUAAUUAUCA
rnacentral:misc_RNA from 1 species